UGUCGCCAAUAACCAUCUAUGUAAAAUAUCUCACGCCCUUACUCUUCUCUCUCAUCCUCUCUCAUCUCUCUUUCUCUCAUUCCAUAGAGAGCUGCCAGCCAUCGUUGCAAGGAGCACCCAUCUCCGACCAGCCACCGUCGCACACGAGCACCUAUCUCCGACUAGCAACAGUACCACAUCGCACACCGCGGACAGUUGGUAUUUCUUCUCCCCCUUCCCCUUCCCCUUCCCCUUCCUCUCUCUCUCUCUCUCUCUCUCUCUUUCUCUCUCUCUCUCUUUGUCUGAAAAAUUUUUGGGUGCAAGCAUUUGAAUCUGUGAACAGAAAGAGAAACAACUAAGGUUCAGAGGUAUGGAUCAGUGAUUCCCAUUUCUGGAUCGGAUUUUGUACGUGAGGUCUCCCAAGCUCCUCCAGAUGUUUGGGUAGUAGUGAUUUUGGACAAGGAUGGGUCAUUGGUUAAAAGUCUAGAGAAGAUUGACCCAAGGAAGAUGAAACGCGAAGAAAAGCUUGCAUUUUGGAUCAACAUUCGCAAUGCCUUGGUGAUGCAUAUGAGAAAUUAAUAGGUAGAUGAGAACGACGAAGAGUUGCCUGAUUUUUACAAAUUCUAUGAGAAGUGUCACAAGUCGAAGAAGAUGAAUGACUGGAUUGAUUGCCUAUGUGGUGACCUAUAUGUAAGAAUUUAACAAUAGAUCAAUUGACUGGAUUUGGAAUCGGCCCACGACUCUAUUCUACCAUAUCCAAAGUUGCAUCAAGAGCAUGUGAUAAAGAGAUGGAGACCUCGAGAUUGGAGAUCAAAAACAUGUAUACUUGAUAUGUUUUGUUAUUAAGAUUUUAUUUAAUUUGGAUUUUAAUUGUUGGUUUGGAUAGUAUAUGUAUUUGUUGGAUUAUACUAUGUUUAUGGAUUCUUAUUUUCUUUGAUAUGUACGAUUAAUAGUUAAGUUUUGUAUAUGGUUGGAAAUUGAAUGCUACAAGUUGUGGAGAAAUAUUUUUAUUGAA